rnacentral:lncRNA from 1 species
CUGCCGCCCGCCGCGGCCUCUGAGGCGCCGCUUCCCCUCCGCCCCCCGGCGGGCUCAGCGCUGUCCCCGCCGCCUCCCGGAGCCCCAGCCGUGCCGGCUGCUGGGGGCCGGCCCUUCUCCCGCCGCUCAAACGUGAGGCGGAUGCAGCGGGGGCAGAAAGGCCAGCGCUGCCUCCGUGCCGGCCCAUGGCACACACGGGAUGCGGGAGCAGUGAUGUCAGAGCCAGCUGGAAGGAGCUGCAGCUUUCCCGGCCCUCCUGCAGCCCCAAGGGAUGGGAAAGUUGCCUAAUAGGUAGUAUCAUCUUAUCAUAGAUGAGCAAUAAACACAUAAACCACCUUUAAUCUUUGAACUGC